CUUUAAUGAAGGUUUUAGGGGUUGUUAUUUGGAUGUUCUAGGUAAGUGGUUAACUCUUUCUCUCCUUAUUUUGCAAAACUCAUAACCUAUUUUGGAAUCUCU